GCCGGGCAUGGUGGUGCGUGCCUGUAAUCCCAGCUACUCAGGAGGCUGAGGCAGGAGAAUCACUUGAACCCGGGAGGUGGAGGUUUCAGUGAGCUGAGAUCGGAUCACUGCACUCCAGCCUGGGCAAUAAAGUGAGACUCUGUCUCAA
rfam:Gorilla gorilla gorilla genomic chromosome, chr6, whole genome shotgun sequence